rnacentral:rRNA from 1 species
GAUGAACGCUGGCGGCAUGCCUUACACAUGCAAGUCGAACGGUAACAGGUCUUCGGAUGCUGACGAGUGGCGAACGGGUGAGUAAUACAUCGGAACGUGCCUAGUAGUGGGGGAUAACUACUCGAAAGAGUGGCUAAUACCGCAUGAGAUCUACGGAUGAAAGCAGGGGAUCGCAAGACCUUGUGCUACUAGAGCGGCCGAUGGCAGAUUAGGUAGUUGGUGGGAUAAAAGCUUACCAAGCCGACGAUCUGUAGCUGGUCUGAGAGAACGAUCAGCCACACUGGGACUGAGACACGGCCCAGACUCUUACGGGAGGCAGCAGUGGGGAAUUUUGGACAAUGGGCGAAAGCCUGAUCCAGCAAUGCCGCGUGCAGGAUGAAGGCCUUCGGGUUGUAAACUGCUUUUGUACGGAACGAAAAGCCCCGGGUUAAUACCCUGGGGUCAUGACGGUACCGUAAGAAUAAGCACCGGCUAACUACGUGCCAGCCGCCGCAGUAA